rnacentral:rRNA from 1 species
CGCGCAGGCGGUUCUUUAAGUCUGGUGUCUAAGUGCGGGGCUCAACCCCGUGAUGCACUGGAAACUGGGGAACUUGAGUGCAGAAGAGGAGAGCGGAAUUCCACGUGUAGCGGUGAAAUGCGUAGAGAUGUGGAGGAACACCAGUGGCGAAGGCGGCUCUCUGGACUGUAACUGACGCUGAGGCGCGAAAGCGUGGGGAGCAAACAGGAUUAGAUACCCUGGUAGUCCACGCUGUAAACGAUGAGUGCUAGGUGUUGGGGGUAUCAUGCCCUCGGUGCCGAAGUUAACACAUUAAGCACUCCGCCUGGGGAGUACGGUCGCAAGACUGAA